rnacentral:lncRNA from 1 species
AUGUGUCACAUCCAGGUGUGUCACGUCCAGGUGUGUCACACAGCUGGGACACUCAGAUCUGUCACACUCAGAUCUGUCACAUCCAGGGGGAACCCUCAGCACAGCACAGGCUCCCUUGCUGUAACAGCCCCAAGCAGCAGCAGCAGCAGCAGCAGCUCAGAGCCAGCCCUGCCAGCCCUGUGCCCCAGCCCUGGCCCUGCUGGCUCCCCCUGGCCACAGGAUUGUCCCCUGCCCUGGCUGUGGCACGGAUUAAACCCCUCUGGAGCAGCAGGGCCCUGCCCAGGCUGUGCUGAAUCCCCUCCUGCUCCUGGGGCACAGCUCAGCCCAAGGUUUCCUGCAGUUCCCUCCACUGGCGCAAUUCCUGUUCCAGCUGUGUGUCCUGCUGUCCUGCUGUCCUGCUGUCCUGCUGUCCCCACAGGACUCUGAGGAUCCCUGCAGAGCUCUCCCAGCAGCGCCUGGGCUGAGCCAGAGCAACCCCUCACCUACAGCACUCAGCAAUCUUUAGGAAAACCAUUGAACACCUUUCAUGGAAGCCUAUUGAUCAAAAUAAAAAAACAACCCCAGAGCUAUUGAUGGAGCA